GAAAUGCGAUAAGUAGUGUGAAUUGCAGAAUUCAGUGAAUCAUCGAAUCUUUGAACGCACAUUGCGCCCCUUGGUAUUCCAUGGGGCAUGCCUGUUCGAGCGUCAUUUGUACCUUCAAGCUUUGCUUGGUGUUGGGUGUUUGUCUCGCCUCUGCACGCAGACUCGCCUCAAAACAAUUGGCAGCCGGCGUAUUGAUUUCGGAGCGCAGUACAUCUCGCGCUUUGCACUCAUAACGACGACGUCCAAAAAGUACAUUUUUUACACUCUUGACCUCGGAUCAGGUAGGGAUACCCGCUGAACUUAAGC
rnacentral:misc_RNA from 1 species